rnacentral:rRNA from 1 species
UACGGAGGGGGCUAGCGUUGUUCGGAAUUACUGGGCGUAAAGCGCGCGUAGGCGGUUCUUCAAGUCAGAGGUGAAAGCCCGGUGCUCAACAUCGGAAUUGCCUUUGAAACUAGGGAACUUGAAUCCAGGAGAGGUGAGUGGAAUUCCGAGUGUAGAGGUGAAAUUCGUAGAUAUUCGGAAGAACACCAGUGGCGAAGGCGGCUCACUGGACUGGUAUUGACGCUGAGGUGCGAAAGCGUGGGGAGCAAACAGGAUUAGAAACCCCCGUAGUCC